GAUUUUGGUUCUCCAGCUAUCGGACUCGGGAUUUUGAAGUCGAAGUCGCCCACACUAUCAAAGCCCCUCCCUUUUUGGUACAAUUUUGGUUGAACUUCGAAAUGGCAUGUAUAGGACUACCCUUUUUGUUGGGGGUCAUGGACCCUUUGGACUUGUAUAAUUUUGGAUAGCCAUGCGAAAAUGGCUUAUAUAUGUUUGAGUAUAAUGUUAUAAUCAUUUGGUAUGGAUAUGGUUAUUGAGAGGUGUGGAUAUGCUUAACAAGGAUUGGCCAUGGGAAUGGUUAAUCACUAUC
rnacentral:lncRNA from 1 species